rnacentral:rRNA from 1 species
GUGCCAGCACGCCUCGGUAAUUCCAGCUCCAAUAGCGUAUAUUAAAGUUGUUGUGGUUAAAAAGCUCGUAGUUGAACCUUGGGCCUGGCUGGCCGGUCCGCCUCACCGCGUGCACUGGUCCGGCCGGGCCUUUCCCUCUGUGGAACCCCAUACCCUUCACUGGGCGUGGCGGGGAAACAGGACAUUUACUUUGAAAAAAUUAGAGUGCUCCAGGCAGGCCUAUGCUCGAAUACAUUAGCAUGGAAUAAUAAAAUAGGACGCGCGGUUCUAUUUUGUUGGUUUAUAGGACCGCCGUAAUGAUUAAUAGGGACAGUCGGGGGCAUCAGUAUUCAACUGUCAGAGGUGAAAUUCUUGGAUCAGUUGAAGACUAACUACUGCGAAAGCAUUUGCCAAGGAUGUUUUCAUUAAUCAGGAACGAAAGUUAGGGGAUCGAAGACGAUCAGAUACCGUCGUAGUCUUAACCAUAAACUAUGCCGACUAGGGAUCGGACGGUGUUAUUCAUGACCCGUUCGGCACCUUACGAGAAAUCAAAGUGCUUUGGGGCUCCAGGGGGAGUAUGGUCGCAAGGCUGAAACUUAAAGAAAUUGACGGAAGGGGCACCACCCAGGGGUGGAGCCUGCGGCUUAAUUUGACUCAACACGGGGAAACUCACCAAGGUCCAGACACAAUAAGGAUUGACAGAUGAGAAGCUCUUUCUUGGAUUUGUGGUGGUGGUGCAUGGCCGAUCUUAGGUGGUGGGGUGACUUGUCUGCUUAAUUGCGAAUAACGAACGAGACCUUAACCUUGCUU